CUUUCGCUUACUGAGCCAAACUUGGUGCCAUCAUCUUCGUCGUCGACUUCAGGUGCAGUGUUUUCAUCAGCUUCAUGUGUUGUGUUUGGCUUAUGUAAGAAUGGCACUGAGUCAAUUAGGAAUCGAAUGAUAGUGACUGGAAUGAAUGUUGAAUGACCGUCUUUUGCGAUGCAGGUCAAAUAUGGAUGAAGUCUUGAUAUGUGGUAAAGAUGAUGAAGGUCGAUUGAACGGAUUACCGGCGAGCUACAGUAGGAAGCAUGUUGCAGCAGCUUUAUGGAGUGUUUCAUGGGAUUAUGUUGGUGGGUUAGCA